CAUUUAACUCUCAUCACGUUGCGAAGUUAAAAGUGAUCAUUUUUCAACAAAAAGGUAUUUUAGUUCUCUGCAGAAUAAGAACAUAGCUCUCACGGCCUGCUUCAGGUGACCCAUGCAGGUAAGGCAGAAGAAUGAGGGAGCUAAAGAGACACUGGGUGAAAAUGAUGAAUUUUGGGGCGCUGAUUCAUGUGACCUGAAAAACGCCAUCCAUUUCCUGAUUCACCUCAAUUUCUAUUCGGAAAUAUGAAGCAUCGCUUGUGUCUGAACUAAUUAGGCCACUUGGUCUUGUCUUUCCCUUUCUCCCUAGUGCCUGGGUUUCAGCCUUGUGGCUCAGUUGCCUUCGCAGACCGGAGCAGUGUGGAGGGGCUGAAAAGGACGAUGAGGACACCACCUGGGAGAGAUGGAGAUGCUUCUAUGGGCCACAAGUGGCUUUCAAGGAAGCCUUGAUGUGUUUUCUGCCAACUCAAUUUCCUGAAGACAAAAUUGGUCCACUAGAAGAGUCCAGAUUGUCUUUGAAAGAAUGGCAUGAGGAGAAGAAACAAACGGUUUAUAAGAUUUUUGGAAUAUCUACAGAAAAUGCAGAUGGCUUGUGGCACGAAGAUGAAGCAUCCAUAUGGUUUCCUGACUUAUUUUCUGACAUUGAGACUUGUAUAUAUCUUGAGUGUGUAUAAGCAAAGAGUGG
ensembl:lncRNA